rnacentral:lncRNA from 1 species
UACAAAAAAUUCACUCGAAGCCCUGAUCUGAUCGAUCUUUUUGGGAGUGCUAGCUCACGCGAAGACCUUCUUCUUGACUAAUCUAGAUUUUUUCUUCAAAUCUCUAAAACUUUUUUAGAGUUUGAAGAUGAUCAUCUAGAGUAGAUGAGGAUGUGGAAGAAGAAAAGAGAAGAAAUAAUUUUCUCAUAUUUUUCUCUCUUCCCAAAAUCUAAGGU